rnacentral:lncRNA from 1 species
GUUCCACCCCACAAGUGGGAGCUGUUUUGUCCCAUCCUUAUCCUCUCCCACCUUCCUCAGCCCCUGGGGCACACUGAUGAAAUGGGCAAUAGUCUUAGUUUCUGUGCUUCCAAUUGUAAAGCUGCUUGACUGACACUCUCAAUUUGAUUCUUUCAGCAUGUGAAGAAUUUUCUUUUACAUUUUGUAAGUAAAUCCUAGAGUUCCAGGAUUAGAUUACUCAAUUAAUAAAAUUAUUUCUCCAUUGUGUUAAUAUUUUCAGAGCGAAAAUAUGAUUUGGGGGACUGCUUUCACCGACUCCCCUAAAUUUGGUAAGUUUCUCCUAAUCAUCCUAGUAUUCCAGGAUUAGAUUACUCAGUCAAAAAUAUUCUUUCUCCAUUGUGUUAAUGUUUUCAGAGAGAAAAUAUGAUUUUGGGGACUGCUUUCACCAACUACCCUAAAUUUUGGUAAGUUUCUCCUGGUUAUUCUAGCGUUCCAGGAUUAGAUUACUCAGUCAAAAAUAUUCUUUCUCCGUCAUGUUAAUGUUUUCAGAGAGAAAAUAUGAUUUGGGGGACUGCAUUCACUGACUCCCCUAAAUUUUGGUAAGUUUUUCCUGGUCACCCUAGCGUUGCAGGAUUAGACUACUCAGUCAAAAAUAUUCUUUCUUCAUCAUAUUAAUGUUUUCAGAGAGAAAAUAUGAUUUUGAGGACUGCUUUCACCGACUCCCCUAAAUUUGGUAAGUUUCUCCUAAUCAUCCUAGUAUUCCAGGAUUAGAUUACUCAGUCAAUAAUAUUCUUUCUUCAUCAUAUUAAUGUUUUCAGAGAGAAAAUAUGAUUUUGAGGACUGCUUUCACCGACUCCCCUAAAUUUUGGAAAGUUGUCUUGUGAUCAUCAUCAUCUCUCUGUGACAAUGGUAAAGGCUGCAUGAAAUACUUGGAAUUGGACUUGGUCCACACAGUUCCUGUGCCACCAUCCUGAAGCCCUAGUAGGACCUGGCGUCUUGGCUGUCCCUUGGGGCCGUGCUGGCAGACUAGGCUCGGCGAUUACCAAGUUUGUCUCGGACUCAAGCUCCCGAACCUCCAGUAGCUCUUCUGAACUUUCCAAGGUCACAUGGUCCAUUCCAGUCCCGAUGUAUGUUCAUCUAAGGGAGGUAAGAAACAACAAACCAUGAGUGGGAUAAGUAGGCUAUUGGUACUAAUGCUCUCUCCCUAUGGGGAAACUUAAAAGUACUCUUCAGCUAAACACAUCCAGGCAGGACUGAAGACGAAAGAGCUUCCCUUUUACUUGUAUUAUGUUUUGAAUGCACACCUAGUUGCGCUCAUCAGCCAAACGUCUUACUUCACUAGGUGGCAAGUUCAAAAGUUAUAGGAUUCCUGCACAUGUUUCAAAGGCAGGGAGCACGACCUGCCCAGAAGCAGAUUUACUCUGUCUCCACAUGGCAGAGCAGCCAGAACAAGGUACACUAUUGAAAGGGGGAAAUCCCAAAGGUUCACCCAUCUAGAUCCCUUCUUACCUUUCUCCCAGUUAUUCCUCCUUCCCUAUCCUUUCUAUUAAUUCUCCCACCCUCCUUUCUUCUCUAUCCUUUUUGGUCUACCUACCUCCCUUUCACAUCUUGCCUCCCUUCUAUUAUGCUUUUUCCCCUCCUCUCUUCAUCUUUCCAGCCUUACUUCCCU